CAGAGAUGUAGACCAAUGUUUUCGCGUAGGAGUCUGUGCUGCAUAACAAAUGUGUUUUGUUGAAAUGUCAUGUAAUCAUAUGUGAGUGUUAUUUUCAAAAACUGUAAUUCAGCUUUAUGUGGAAGGAUUUUCACUGCCUGCGAUAAUUGUUGCAUACUUGAUUUUAUAACAUGACAGCAGAACAAUGAAUUAUUAAGUGCAUUAUUACUGCAGUCAUUGGGUUACUAAAUAAAAAAGAAAAUAUGGCACAGAGUAGCUCCAGUGGCACGUCGUCUAGGCGGCACGGGAGGAGCGAUCACGAUACAGCUUCAUUAACAUCAAGCAGAUAUGCCGACGCCGAAUGGGAAGCCAAGGAGGCAUUACGGCAGAGAGAAUUGGAGGAAGCAAGAGCUCGCGCAACCCAGAUGGAAAAGACGAUGAGAUGGUGGUCUGAUUGUACUGCAAACUGGAGAGAAAAAUGGAGCAAGGUACGUAAUGAACGUAACAAAGCCAGAGAAGAAUCGAAACAGUUGAGGAUGCGACUAGAAGCAGCAAUGAAAGAUGCUGGAACCUGCAGGAGGGAGCGCCAAGAACUAGAAACAGAAAAUGAGCGGCUAAGGCAAGAGUUAGAACAAGCACACAUGUUACUACUGAAGGGAGCAGGGAAAUCAGGCAGUGCAUGGGCACCAAAUAGUAAUUUGCCAGCCGAUGACCAUGAAGCAGAGGAGUAUGUUCUUCCUCGGCACACUACAGAACUGUGCCAUGCAGGAGUGGUGGGGCGUGAAAAUGCAGUUGAUGGAGAUGCUCAAGAUCCAGCAGCUGUAUCAACAGGAUUGUCAGCAUCUGAUGCAGCCUUGGGUGAUAUGGACCCCACAGCAGCCCUAGGACCACGUGACCCUGCAGCAGAUGGUGGAGAAGAUCUGGAUCGUGAUCAUGACUGCAUGUUGCAGAAGAUGUCUAUGCUACAGCUUAGAUUAGAUGAGGCUUCAAAGACUAUACAGAUUGAGAGAGAAGAAAAAGGAGCACUGCAACGAGCUUUGGACAGGUUACGCGGAGAUCUGGCUGGUGAGACAAGGGUGCAAGACGGUGGUAUAGCAGGACGACUUGCGCUCCUUAGAGCAGAGCUCGAACGCAUGCAGGCAGAAAAUUCUGCUGAAUGGAGAAGAAGUGAAAGCCUGGAGACUGAGAAACUUGCCUUGGAGAGAGAGAACAAAAAGCUACGAGCUGAACUUCGCGAUGCAAAUGAGCGACUUGAACGUAUGCAGCGCAAUGUUGCAGCAGGCCGUUUGCCUUUGCCUUCAUCAUCAGUUGUGGAAACAGAGCUGCGCGAAGAUCUUGCUGACAGAGUUAAGGAGCUGACUGAACUGAAACAGGCACACUCAAAGCUAAAAAAGGUAUUUCAAGAAAAGUCAACAGAACUUGCACAUGCAGCAAGACGGGCAGAACAGUACGAGGCAGAAGUAAAGAGACUGCGUGCUCGUGUUGAGGAAGUGAAAAGGGAACUAACAGCAGCAGAGGAUGAAGUUGAUGCUGCCUCAAACAGCAUACGAAAACUCCAGAGAGCAAAUGAUGAAUUACAGGAACAAGUAGAGACGCUGCAGGUACAACUUGAACAUUUGCACUCCAGAGACAGCCUGUGUCUUGAGGAGACCUCCUGAGAGCAUGCUGUCCCUGCCAGCGAAGCUCUUGGCAGGGUCCUCUAUGGCGACAGCACUGUAGGCACACUCUGAGUGUGUUGCCAGGUUCCAGGUUCCCAGUUCUUCAAGUUCUCACCGUAAUGGCCAAGAUUUUGCCUUUCGUGGAGAACUGAGUGAUGAUGAAGUUAUAUAUUAAAUGAUUUGUGGGUAUUUGUCAUUGCACUUCCAUUUCUGGUAACUUGUGAAAACAUAUUGCAAUACAACUGUAUAGAAAUGGCAUUUUUUCAAAAUAAGUAAAUAACAGUUGAAUUUAUAGUAACUAGUAAAAUAUAGCUUCAGUGAAGCAUAUAGUAUUUUUCUAUAUAUUUGACUGUAAUUCAUGGUGGAAUUGAAUGACUGCAUUCCAUUGCAUAUUUGUACUAUUAAAACUGUAAUUAGACAAAAAGUGGUUGACAUAUUGAAUGAUGAAUUAGCAGUUAUGAUCAUUUGUCUGAGCUCACUUCAGCACUUACAAUUUAGAAAAAAAUAACGGCAAAUAUUUCAGGAAAAAGUAGCUGUCUAACAAAGCUCACUUCUCAAAUCUUGGGUGCUCUUUCAUAUCUGAACAUUCAAAUGAAGCAGACAGGAUGCCAAUCAUCUGUGGAUGAACUGUGCAGCUUUAUAAUAGACACAUAAUGACAGAGGUAGUUCCCCUUCUUAAGAUCUAGUCGAACUUGUGGGGAUGCUGAUAAUGGUUCAUGGUAUAUUUGGCUAGAACCUCCCAUGACUUAGCUCACGGGUGAGUAGCAGACUGAAUUGACAUGGAAGAUUCUUUUGUCCCAGUCUUGAGCCCAUCAAAUUGUUGGCUCUCCUGUAGCUUGAGGUGCUAGUAUUUGAGUUGCUCCAUUUUGUACAAUAGAUGACUUCUGUAAAUGUUCUGCUUGUUAUUGAAAAAUUUUACUUAGGAAAUGGCAUUUUGUAUUUUAGUGAGUUCAGUUUUCCUAUGUACAAAUGUGACUACAGAAACAUAUAUUUAUUUAUGUAAAGGAAGACUUGUGAUAUAUCAACUCAUGUAAUUAAUGAAUAAUAUAAUUUAAAUUUACUAGAUCCCUUUCUGUAAAAAGUGAUGCAAGUUUUUAUAUUAAAAAAUCACGUGAGGUAACUAUUAAAUUACAAAGAGAAUGUAUGGCUGGCCAUUUCGUUAUUCACUCAAUUAUUCCUGUUUUACUGUUUGGAUCAUCAUCUUUUCCUCUCCUUUUCCUUUUCUGCCCCCUCCUUCUCCUAGUUAUUAGUUACACUUUUCAUACCACUUGUCAUUUCUCUUGUUUUUAAUCCAUCUCACUGUUCUUCUGUCUUGCGUAGGCUUGAAGCUUCCACAGUGCUGAUUGGUGUACUAUAUUUGAGCUCUUAGUGUCUCUGAUACCUCCCACUUCAUCCAUAUCUGUCCCGGCCUUAUUACAUGUGAUUCUUCUGAUUCUUCUCUACCUGAUGUCUGAGUGAUCUGCCUCCCUUUUCUAACCUUCCCCACCAUAUUUCUCUUUCCUCCCUGAGGAAGGAACUAACAGUUCUGAAAGCUUUAUACAUGGGUAUCUAUUGGCAGUACUUAGGAUUUUGCCUCUUGAAAUAAAUACUGACCAGCCAUUCUGUCUCCUUGUAAUGAUAUAAUUAUUUAAGUGAUAGUAAUUUUUUACAGAAAUUGACAUACAAGUUUGUGUGUUUACUCACAGCUCUGGUCUGUGAAGAGUUGUGUGUCUUGUAAAAUUUAAUGUUAUAAAGCAGUUUGAAAUGUCAGAAAGUUGUUUCUUUUUCUGUUAAAACAUGAAAUGAUGAUAGAAAACAGAGUUAUCUGUUUUCUUUAUUGAUGCCAUUUUCCUGUACUUGCCUUUUGAGAAUGGUAUUAUAUUAAUUCCUACUGAAUCUUGAAGUUUUAUUACAUUUGUAUCAUUUUACAACUACAGUGCUACACUGUCUGCAUGUAUCUGUGUAAUGCGUGUAUCAUGAAAGGAUAAGGAUACAAGGCAGAAGUUGUCUGUCACUAGCCUGUUCAACAAAUAGAUAAAUAAAUAAAAGGGGACAUAAAUGGGGAUAUGAACAUCAGCAAUA